rnacentral:rRNA from 1 species
UUUUAUUGAGAGUUUGAUCCUGGCUCAGGACGAACGCUGGCGGUAUGCUUAACACAUGCAAGUCGAACGAGACGAGAUGGAAGUGCUUGCACGGAAAUCUUAGAAAGUGGC